AAACUUUCAACAACGGAUCUCUUGGCUCUUGCAUCGAUGAAGAACGCAGCGAAUUGCGAUAAGUAGUGUGAAUUGCAGAAUUCCGUGAAUCAUCGAAUCUUUGAACGCAUAUUGCACUCUUUGGUAUUCCGAAGAGUAUGCCUGUUUGAGGGUCAUUUGAAAAUUAAUCAAGAUUAUUAGUCU
rnacentral:rRNA from 1 species